GGAGGCAGAGGAAGCACGGCCACGCAGCCAACAUACAGGGAGCUUGCUCCCGACAUGCUGCGGGGAAAGUCCCCGUGCCUUUGGGCAGAGAGUGUCAUUGGGAGACCAAAGGCCAGCAUCUGCAGCUUGCAGUGAAGCUUUGUGCCAAGCUGAUAGCUCAGGAGCUGGCCACUUGCAGCAGCACAGUCAUGCCGUGAGCACCCGAUGGAGGGUGCCAACCGAACGGGGCUCAUUCUCCCCAUGCCUC
rfam:Symbiodinium microadriaticum strain CCMP2467 Smic.scaffold399, whole genome shotgun sequence.